UACGUAGGGGGCGAGCGUUGUCCGGAUUUAUUGGGCGUAAAGAGCUCGUAGGCGGUUUGGUAAGUUGGAUGUGAAAUCUCCAGGCUCAACUUGGAGGGGUCAUUCGAUACUGCCAUGACUAGAGUUCGGUAGGGGAGUGUGGAAUUCCUGGUGGAGCGGUGAAAUGCGUAGAUAUCGAGAGGAACACCUGCGGCGAAGGCGGGUUGCUGGGCUGACACUGACGCUGAUUGUGCGAAAGCUAGGGGAGCGAACGGG
rnacentral:rRNA from 1 species